AUCCUACGGGAGGCAGCAGUGGGGGAUAUUGCACAAUGGGGGGAACCCUGAUGCAGCGACGCCGCGUGGGUGAAGAAGCGCCUCGGCGCGUAAAGCCCUGUCAGCAGGGAAGAAAAUGACGGUACCUGAAGAAGAAGCCCCGGCUAACUACGUGCCAGCAGCCGCGGUAAUACGUAGGGGGCAAGCGUUAUCCGGAUUUAUUGGGUUUAAAGGGUGCGCAGGCGGGAGAUCAAGGCAGCGGUAAAAUGUCGGGGCACAACCC
rnacentral:rRNA from 1 species